rnacentral:rRNA from 1 species
GGGAAUUUUGGACAAUGGGCGAAAGCCUGAUCCAGCAAUGCCGCGUGUGUGAAGAAGGCCUUCGGGUUGUAAAGCACUUUUGUCCGGAAAGAAAUCCUUGGCUCUAAUACAGUCGGGGGAUGACGGUACCGGAAGAAUAAGCACCGGCUAACUACGUGCCAGCAGCCGCGGUAAUACGUAGGGUGCGAGCGUUAAUCGGAAUUACUGGGCGUAAAGCGUGCGCAGGCGGUUUGCUAAGACCGAUGUGAAAUCCCCGGGCUCAACCUGGGAACUGCAUUGGUGACUGGCAGGCUAGAGUAUGGCAGAGGGGGGUAGAAUUCCACGUGUAGCAGUGAAAUGCGUAGAGAUGUGGAGGAAUACCGAUGGCGAAGGCAGCCCCCUGGGCCAAUACUGACGCUCAUGCACGAAAGCGUGGGGAGCAAACAGGAUUAGAUACCCUGGUAGUCCACGCCCUAAACGAUGUCAACUAGUUGUUGGGGAUUCAUUUCCUUAGUAACGUAGCUAACGCGUGAAGUUGACCGCCUGGGGAGUACGGUCGCAAGAUUAAAACUCAAAGGAAUUGACGGGGACCCGCGCAAGCGGUGGAUGAUGUGGAUUAAUUCGAUGCAACGCGAAAAACCUUACCUACCCUUGACAUGGUCGGAAUCCCGCUGAGAGGUGGGAGUGCUCGAAAGAGAACCGGCGCACAGGUGCUGCAUGGCUGUCGUCAGCUCGUGUCGUGAGAUGUUGGGUUAAGUCCCGCAACGAGCGCAACCCUUGUCCUUAGUUGCUACGCAAGAGCACUCUAAGGAGACUGCCGGUGACAAACCGGAGGAAGGUGGGGAUGACGUCAAGUCCUCAUGGCCCUUAUGGGUAGGGCUUCACACGUCAUACAAUGGUCGGAACAGAGGGUUGCCAACCCGCGAGGGGGAGCUAAUCCCAGAAAACCGAUCGUAGUCCGGAUUGCACUCUGCAACUCGAGUGCAUGAAGCUGGAAUCGCUAGUAAUCGCGGAUCAGCAUGCCGCGGUGAAUAAAUUCCGGGCCUUGUACACACCGC